GAUGAACGCUGGCGGCGUGCCUAAUACAUGCAAGUCGAGCGAACAGACGAGGAUCUUGCUCCUCUGACGUUAGCGGCGGACAGGUGAGUAACACGUGGAUAACCUACCUAUAAGACUGGGAUAACUUCGGGAAACCGGAGCUAAUACCGGAUAAUAUAUUGAACCGCAUGGUUCAAUAGUGAAAGACGGUUUUGCUGUCACUUAUAGAUGGAUCCGCGCCGCAUUAGCUAGUUGGUAAGGUAACGGCUUACCAAGGCAACGAUGCGUAGCCGACCUGAGAGGGUGAUCGGCCACACUGGAACUGAGACACGGUCCAGACUCCUACGGGAGGCAGCAGUAGGGAAUCUUCCGCAAUGGGCGAAAGCCUGACGGAGCAACGCCGCGUGAGUGAUGAAGGUCUUCGGAUCGUAAAACUCUGUUAUUAGGGAAGAACAAAUGUGUAAGUAACUAUGCACGUCUUGACGGUACCUAAUCAGAAAGCCACGGCUAACUACGUG
rnacentral:rRNA from 1 species